GAUGAACGCUGGCGGCGUGCCUAAUACAUGCAAGUCGAGCGAACGGACGAGAAGCUUGCUUUUCUGAUGUUAGCGGCGGACGGGUGAGUAACACGUGGAUAACCUACCUAUAAGACUGGGAUAACUUCGGGAAACCGGAGCUAAUACCGGAUAAUAUUUUGAACCGCAUGGUUCAAAAGUGAAAGACGGUCUUGCUGUCACUUAUAGAUGGAUCCGCGCUGCAUUAGCUAGUUGGUAAGGUAACGGCUUACCAAGGCAACGAUGCAUAGCCGACCUGAGAGGGUGAUCGGCCACACUGGAACUGAGACACGGUCCAGACUCCUACGGGAGGCAGCAGUAGGGAAUCUUCCGCAAUGGGCGAAAGCCUGACGGAGCAACGCCGCGUGAGUGAUGAAGGUCUUCGGAUCGUAAAACUCUGUUAUUAGGGAAGAACAUAUGUGUAAGUAAAUGUGCACAUCUUGACGGUACCUAAUCAGAAAGCCACGGCUAACUACGUG
rnacentral:rRNA from 1 species